rnacentral:tRNA from 1 species
GGCUCCUUAGUUCAAGGGAUAGAAUGGAGGUUUCCUAAACCUUAGAUUCGAGUUCGAGUCUCGGAGGAGCUACCA